rnacentral:lncRNA from 1 species
GAUCCCGUUUCCUUCAAACACUUUCUUUCUUUUCCAUUUUCAGAUCCAAGAAAAUGGAUAACGUAACAUUUUCCAUUUUUCUUCUUCUCUUGUUUCUCUUUGUUUCACCUCACCACGUAACCGUCUCCGCCGAUUCACCACCGUCUCCAUCUCCAACUCCGUCACCAUCACCCUCCGAAUCUCCUUCUCCGGAUUCUGCUCCGAGUUUACCUCCAUCGCCGCCUGCUCCUUCUCCGCAGAGUCCUUCUCCAUCUCCCGCUCAAUCUCCAGUAGAUUCUCCAUCUCCCGCUCUUUCACCGGAGGAUUCUGAUUCUCCGUCUCCGGCACCGACGGCGGCGGAUAGAGGUUCAAUUAACCACACGGAAGCUGCGGAUGAGAAUGCGGCGGAGAAAUCGUCGGGAGGAGGAAACAGCAGCGGAAAGAAAGCUGGAAUAGCAAUCGGAGUGGUACUAGCAGCGGGAGUGAUCGUAAUAGGAGGAGUAGUAUACAAGAAGAGACAACGGAAUAUACGGCGCUCUCAGUUUGGAUACGCCGCAAGGACUGAGAUUCUGUAAAAGCCUCAUUUAUACGUAGUUCAUGCUUGUUGUGAUUCAAUUUCACUCUAGAUUCUUUUCGUUAUGAUUCAAAUACAUUACUGCUUCGGUUUAUAAGGUAUAUCAAUUGUCAUUUUAUCAGAUCUCAUUUUGUUGCUACUUGUAAUAUUCAAAUUUUCAAACCAAUUCGUG